CAGUAAACACAACACACACCCACGCCACUCUCUCAUCUCUCCCACGGCUUCUCUCUCUGUCUCUCUCUUCAAAUUUCUUCCCCAAAUCUCAAAUUAACCAAGGGAUCUUGGAGUAUUCUUCUCCUAGAGUCGAGUUCUAGCCGUUGAUCGCGUUGGAAAGCUCGGAGGAGGUGUUUUCGGGAGAGGUUUUGCCUGGAGAUUCUUGGGGUUUUAAUUUCAACCUUCGAGGUACUCGCCAUGGCACUUAGCUUGGAUUGCAUGGAGUGCACAUGGAGACGUCUCUUGGGAGCUUCGUUGGAAUUAUUAAGGAGUUGUUUAUCAACUAGUCUAAUUCACGUUGUGUACUUCACCUGCAAUUGAAUGUAGUAUCUUUUGGUUUGAGCAUAUGUAAAGCUAUGUAUAAACUCAUCUCUUUGAUUAUUGUGAAGCCCUUUUUAAUUGAAGACGUUUUGGAGACUUUACGUAAAAAAAAAAAAAAAUUUAGAGACAAGAAGAAGAGACUUUGAUUCUUUAUUUGGAUUGGCAUGUCAGUUAAGGGUAAAUAUAGUUUGAGAGGAAGACUUUUGUUAUGGAAAAUAUAUUAUUAUUUUAGCUGAAAAUCGAGGGCGUGACAACUUGGUAUCAGAGCAUAGGUUUAGAAUACCUCGGGACCGUGGGGAGACACUUAGUCUUAUGAGUCUAGCGGUUGCAUUGGGGCAUGAAUUUUGGGUGUACGUGAAUAGCUUACACCGAUCUACUUGGCAUCUUAAUUGCAUCUCUGUAGCGUCAUAUGGUGUUGUUGACCUUUAUUGGAGAAAAUUGGAGGUUUGACCUCAUAAGUGAAGUUGUGGUUGUUGAUUAGUUCUUUUACUUAACUUCUGUGGCGACCGAAAAAUUUUGUGUUUUGCAAAUGUGUGUAUGGAGAAAGCUGCAUAUUAAUGUAGUUGGGGUGAUGUGGUUAUGUCUUGUGGCUGUGGUGUAUUGAUCACUGUUCUUGGUGAUUCUGUGUGUGUAUAAUAUCUUACGGUAUUGUAUUUGGUGCCUGUUUUGUGCUAUCUUAAAUGGUAAGCUUGAACGUAUUGUGCAUCUCUUAUGUUUAUGUUAACUGAUAUAUAGAUUGUUAAGGGUGACCGUAUCUAGUAUAUGUGAAACUUAUUUCUUUUCUAAGAUUUUGAGGAUCUACUUCCGGAUAUUCAGUUUGAGGUGCGGCUGGCCACCACGACUUCGAGAUUGAAUAUCCAGAAUAGACACCUGUUAAAAAAAAAGAAAAAGAAAAAGGGGGUAUCAACUUGGACCUUGUCUUAUAUGGUGUACUAAUAAGCAAGAUGAUAUUUAAUUCUUUUAACCACAGAGAUAAGUCCAACUGCAAAAUUUUCUCUAUGGGUGAGCUUAUCAAUUUGUUUGAAAGGGGUUAUGUAGAGUAUGCAUGUCUUGUUAUGUCUUAUGUGAACAUGUGUUUUUGCAUCCGAUAGAGAAUUGAGAACUGUGAAGUGAGAUGGUUAAAUUCUUUUGGAAUUGCAAUGCUUUCUAUUACCUUCAUGAUGAUAGGUUGGUACCUUUGUGUUUGACACUAAGUGAUGUUAGAAUAUGACUUGAUGAAGUUGUUUAAUUAACAAGAACUAGUGUAAAAUUAUGGUUGAAUUUAGUUUCUUGACUCUAUGCUGAGGAAAAUGUUGAAAGGAAAGGUUAAGUCUUGAAUAACGAUCUAAUGAUGAACUUAAGGUUAGGCCUUGAAAGGAACGCUUGGAUAUGUAGAACAUGAUGGGGUUAUUCUGGUGUAAGGAUUUUGAGUUACAAAGAAAAGGAAAAGAGGAAUCCAUGUGGGUAACGAAUGAUGAGAUAGAGGGAAGUAUUUGGACUUGUUUUUCUUGUGAUCGAUGUAGGUCUCUUGGAUCUAGAUUUUGUGGUUGUUGACUUGUUGAACAUUCUCGGAUGUUGUGCUACAUGUGGUGACGGUGGUGUUGUGCGUUUCAGGUGUUACAUGACAUGGUCGACUUGGUUUAUCCUAAUUUCGAGGACGAAAUUUCUUUAAGAGGGGUAGGAUGUAGAGACCCGUAUUAAAAAUCUUUUUAUUUUUAAUGUUGGGGAUAUUGAAGGACCCUUUUUAAAAGAAUUGAUUAUUAUGGUGGAUAAUGAAUUGGGGAUUGAUGUGCAAGAAGUUGAAAAUUCGGUGCAAUUGUGAAAUAUGUGUGUAUGGCAUGUGAUAGAUGUAUGUGUGGGUGUAGGAGAUAAUUUUCUCCUCAAUUAUAAUUCUCUCUUUUCUCUCACAGUAAACACAACACACACCCACGCCACUCUCUCAUCUCUCCCACGGCUUCUCUCUCUGUCUCUCUCUUCAAAUUUCUUCCCCAAAUCUCAAAUUAACCAAGGGAUCUUGGAGUAUUCUUCUCCUAGAGUCGAGUUCUAGCCGUUGAUCGCGUUGGAAAGCUCGGAGGAGGUGUUUUCGGGAGAGGUUUUGCCUGGAGAUUCUUGGGGUUUUAAUUUCAACCUUCGAGGUACUCGCCAUGGCACUUAGCUUGGAUUGCAUGGAGUGCACAUGGAGACGUCUCUUGGGAGCUUCGUUGGAAUUAUUAAGGAGUUGUUUAUCAACUAGUCUAAUUCACGUUGUGUACUUCACCUGCAAUUGAAUGUAGUAUCUUUUGGUUUGAGCAUAUGUAAAGCUAUGUAUAAACUCAUCUCUUUGAUUAUUGUGAAGCCCUUUUUAAUUGAA